rnacentral:rRNA from 1 species
UCGGGAAUUUUGGGCAAUGGGCGAAAGCCUGACCCAGCAACGCCGCGUGAAGGAUGAAAUCUUUCGGGAUGUAAACUUCGGAAGAAUAGGAAGAAUAAAAUGACGGUACUAUUUUUAAGGUCCGGCUAACUACGUGCCAGCAGCCGCGGUAAUACGUAGGGACCAAGCGUUGUUCGGAUUUACUGGGCGUAAAGGGCGCGUAGGCGGCGUAAUAAGUCACUUGUGAAAUCUCCGGGCUUAACUCGGAGCGGCCAAGUGAUACUGUUAGGCUAGAGUGCAGAAAGGGCAAUCGGAAUUCUUGGUGUAGCGGUGAAAUGCGUAGAUAUCAAGAGGAACACCUGAGGUGAAGACGGGUUGCUGGGCUGACACUGACGCUGAGGCGCGAAAGCCAGGGGAGCAAACGGGAUUAGAUACCCCCGUAGUCCCUGAGCGGGCUGGCAAGGCGCAU